rnacentral:rRNA from 1 species
UACGUAGGGUGCAAGCGUUGCCCGGAUUUAUUGGGCGUAAAGGGCGCGUAGGCGGCCACCGCAAGUCAGUUGUGAAAUCUCUGGGCUUAACCCAGAAAGGUCAACUGAUACUGCGGGGCUAGAGUGCAGAAGGGGCAACUGGAAUUCUCGGUGUAGCGGUGAAAUGCGUAGAUAUCGAGAGGAACACCUGCGGCGAAGGCGGGUUGCUGGGCUGACACUGACGCUGAGGCGCGAAAGCUAGGGGAGCGAACGGG